CGGGGAGGUUUGGCACCUCGAUGUCGGCUCAUCACAUCCUGGGGCUGUAGUAGGUCCCAAGGGUUGGGCUGUUCGCCCAUUAAAGUGGUACGCGAGCUGGGUUCAGAACGUCGUGAGACAGUUCGGUCCCUAUCCGUCGCAGGCGUAGGAAAUUUGAGAAGACCUGUCCUUAGUACGAGAGGACCGGGAUGGACGUACCUCUGGUGUACCAGUUGUCCUGCCAAGGGCAUGGCUGGGUAGCUAUGUACGGAAUGGAUAAGCGCUGAAAGCAUCUAAGCGCGAAGCCAACUUCAAGAUAAGAUUUCCCACCGCAAGGGUAAGACCCCAGAAAGACUAUCUGGUUG
rnacentral:rRNA from 1 species